UCUCCCCUUCCCCCGUGGGGAGGCGUGUUGCGCGUGCGCGGUUCGGCGCGCGUCUGGUGGGUGAGGCUAAAGGUGUGAGGGGCGUGGCCUCGCGUGUGGCAGCGCCGGCAGCGGCGGGAGCUGAGCCUCGCCUUCAGCUGCCCGGUGGCUGCGUGCCUGUCCCCGGCCCGGGCUGCGCGAAGAAACCGGAGCAGCUUCACCGAAGUAGCUUCAGUGAAGACUGCCUGUCUUUCAGUGGAAGUUGCUUGUCUCCUGUUGUACCUAAAAACUGAUCUCAAAAUAGAUUCCCUCUGAGCUGGAAGAAAUCCUCCAUGCUAUGCAAAGAGUUCACACAAGAUCUAUGCUCCCAGAUCUGACUUGGAUAUAGGACACACAGAGAAGGUGCUGUUUAAUAAAAUUUAUAGAAAGAAUCUCAUGCAUCCCAUUUGGACCUCUUUCAUGAAGAUUAUUAUUAGAGGAAACAGGCAUCAAGCACUCAUCAAAACUGAUUUCAGCAAGUCCAGAAAUUAGCUUGCAGAAGUGAAGAGCGUUUACCUACAACUUGUUAAAAUUCCUCUAUCAAAACUGUUUUCAGACAGGAUUAGAAAUCAUAUAUGCAUGAAGAAACUGUUACUUUCAAAAAAUAAGACAGAUGAAAACAUACAAACAACUAGUAAUCCCAUCACAUCCCAUCAUUUUGUCUUUGCAAUUACUAAAAUACAAAUCCCAGAGGCACUCCACAACCAAGAUACCCGGGAGAAGGCAGAGAGCACAAGUCCCAAACCCCUUCCAGCAGAAUGGCACCUGGCUUACUGUCCACAGAGCUCCAGCUGUGGAUGCUGAGGAGACCUGGCUCACAGCAGUGCAGAAGAGAGCAUAGCAAUCAGCCCUUGCUAUGAAGGGGCCAAAUGCAAAGAAUGCAAAGAAAGGAGGAAAGAGUGGAAUCUGUUACAUAAAAGAGAAAGGGCUGUCUAAAAAAUUGCCUAGUGUACAGUGGGCAGUGCAGCUGUGUCUUGCUGAUUACCAUUUACGGUGUUCUGAUGGAAAUAAAUUUCAUCAGAUUGUA